GAAUCACCCUCUCCCUGCCCGCCGCGUGCGCGCCGUGCCAUCUGCAAGAGUGUGGGGCACGCCUCGCCCAAUCCCCCGCCCGCACCACUCCCUCCCUGCCUCACGCCCAAUCCCCUCGCCCGCACCGCUCCCUCCCUCCUCGAUCUCUCUCCCUGGCCAGCCGCCAUAGGUGGGAAACCCUAGCCCAUUAUCCCAAUCAACACAGCCACAGCUCCUCUCCUUCUUUCUCCCUUCUCCCCCCUCCUCCCCUCACCACAGCCACAACCUAGGGGCUCCGCCGUCCGUUUCGAUGAGAUCCACCACCUCGCGAGGUUCUCAUCUGCCCCAGGUUUCGAGGAAGCCGCGGGAGGAGGAGUGACCUCGGUGCGAGAUAGGUACCGAGGAGGAGCUCAACUAGUGCGUCUUCGGCCGGAGGAGGGAUGCGAGCCAGGAGGCGGAUCGGCUCGGCCCAGCUAUGGAGGCGGCCGGGGCGGGCGCGGAGAGGGCCGAUGCGGCGGCGGCCGGGGCGGGCGCGGAGAGGGCCGAUGCGGCGGCGGCCAAGGCCAGGGAGGACGAGGUUGCAUCCAUCAGCGAGAAGCGGCCAAUCCACCUGCGUGCCGUCACUGCAGGGAUAGCGAAGGUCAGCGAGAAAGGUCAUCGUGGGGGCACACCGCCGUCUCCCUCUCCCCUGGUGGCACCUCCCUAUAUGUUGAGGUUGGUCCUGGAAUGGUUGGCUUUAGGACUUUUGGUGGCAGUAUAUUCUUAUGCCGACGAAAAGCAUUUGCAGGAUGAUUAUGUGGUUAUCUGUGGCAGUGUGCUCCUAUCCUCCCCGCCUCCACACUUCAUUUUUGGAAAACUAAUGAUUUUAAUUCCUCGAUGUCAUAGAUGUUGAGGUUGGUCCUGGAAUGGUUGGCUUUGGGACUUUUGGUGGCAGUAUAUUCUUAUGCCGACGACAAGCAUUUGCAGGACGAUUAUGUGGUUAUCUGUGGCAGUGUGCUCCUAUCCUCCCCGCCUCCAUACUUCAUUUUUGGAAAACUAAUGAUUUUAAUUCCUCGAUGUCAUAGGUACCAUUGAUUGUGCCUCAGCUUCGUAGCCGAUCUUCGAUCGUCCAUGGCAUCAACACACAAAUUGAUAAUGCAAGCCUCAGGUCAAUACCUCCCCUAUUUGAUUUCUGCGGCAGAGUACUAAUAACUUUAUUGUUUGUGUUUUUGGAUAAGAUUUGCAUGGUAUUUCUAUCAUUGGUUGAUUGCUUGGAUACUUUCACUAUAGUAGUUGUUCUGCCUCAUCUAUCACUAUCUGCAAGCUUACUUUGAUUAUGUGUCUCCCAACUUUCUGUAACUAAAAAGCAGCCUGUAAAUGUAGCUUGAAUAAAAAUGGUACCUUUCUGUUUUGUGCAAGUUCAGAGUAUUAGUACUUUCAGUUUGUCCAAUUUUUGCAGGGAUAUUGUGUGAGGUUUGGUACAAGCUUUAAGACAAUCACUUAAUACAUUCAUUGGAUCACCAACUUUUGGCGUUUUUUGAUACUAGCUAGAUAUGUUGCGCCAUGGUUUUUUUCCAAAAAAAAUUACAACUGGCAAUUAACGACACAUCAAAUGUUCUGUGGAUCAUUUUGUUAGGUUGGAUUUAGUAGGUCAUAAUGGUUUUAUUCUACGACAGGAUUAAUUUUGUUUGUACUUUAACCAGUUCAAUGAUUGGUGGUCGAGCACUAUGAUCUUUGCACACUAAGGUUCGGUUGUGUUCUUUGAGAAAUACUAGCCUAACCCGCGCGGCGGCACGCCGCGCUUGAUGAUCACUCGCAAAUGGUCAAUCUAUUGAUUCAAGAGUGGAUCAGUGCAUGCUCAUUUAACCUCACAACAAUGUAUAGAGAUAUUGAAGAAACCGAGCAUAUGAAGCUAUUAAACUUUUUCAAAUGUAGGGGUACAAAGAUACAAAUUAAAAGUAGCACACUUCCAAGGCAAAUAAACUAUUUAGACUACAUAGAGUUCACUGUAAGCAGAGAACUAUAUGUAGAAACACAAACACAUUACAUAAAUGAGCUAGAAGUAGUUGGUGAUAUAUUAGAUCAUCCUAGUAUACCCUCCUGCAGGAUUGCUGCCCGUGAUAGAGUGGUAAAGUGA
rnacentral:rRNA from 1 species